GCCGGGCAUGGUGGCUCAUGCCUGUAAUCCCAGCACUUUGGGAGGCGGAGACGGGUGGAUCACCUGAGGUCAGGAGUUCCAGACCAGCCUGACCAACAUGGUGAAACCCCGUCUCUA
ensembl:misc_RNA Metazoa_SRP Metazoan signal recognition particle RNA